AAUAUGGCUGCCGCAGCUUUUGCUUGCAAUUACACUCCUCUUUUUUUUCGUUUGGCAUCUCUUCAUGCUGUGAUUAUGCGUUGAACGUUGCUGGUUCAUAUUCUUAGCAUCGUCCAAUCAUGUAUGCUCAAAUGGUUGAAGCUACAACAUCACUGAACCCACAGAAUAAAUCAGUUGAGAGUGGUUGCUGUGUUAAAGAACAAAGUCAGUGGCCUAACCAUGUGAUUUAUGACUUGAUAAUGCAACGUUAUUAGGUGAAUUGUGAUUUUUUUUCUACACGACAUGUGAUUUUCUCAGCCUUCAAAUCAAUAUGAUGACUUGUCGAUUCAAAGCUUGGCCCACACCGGGUUUAUUAUGUCUUACUGUGUUAAAGAAAAGUUUCUGAAUGAGUUGAUGACAUUGGAUGGAACAAAUGACAUCCAUGAACUUGAAAAUGAUGGGGAACAAGGGACAUAACUCGAAAGUGCUGCAACAAUCAUGGCUGCCACAGAUUGCUUCUCAGCAAAGAAUAAACUUGGACGGCGCAGUUUUGGACCUGUUUACAAUGUAGUUUUAUAUAAAUCACUCAAAGAACAAAAUUCAAAAACCCUGUAAAAUCUAUGUAAUGACUAGUGAGAUGUUUUAUUUGAGGGAAAUUUAUCGAUUGGGAGAGAGAGAGAGAGAGAGAGAGAUAAAAGACUAUCAAGAAGUUCAUGACAAGGGCUUGCUGAAUUCAAAAACGAGCUUAUACUCGUAUCUAAAUUGCAGCACAUGAAUCUUGUCAGGCUCCUGGGUUGCUGCAUUCAAGGGGAUGAGAAGAUGUUAGUCUACGAAUACAUGCCUAAUAAAAGCUUGGAUUCAUUUAUCUUUGAGCAAAUGAUCAUAGUUGGAGGGGUGCGCCGGAGAAUAACGAGAAUGCCAUGGAGGGCAUUUUUACUCUGAAACCUGAAUUCUUCAGUUUUGGAGUCCUGCUUCUAGAGAUUGUGAGUGGUACAUAAAACCUAAACUUCUUCGCAUUGACCCUCCCCUUCAGUUUAAUUACGGGGUCGCUUUUUCUUUUUCUUUUUUCAGGUUAUUGUAAUUAUUUUUUUAUUUGGUCAAUUUAUUAUAGUCAUUUAUUUUUAAUAUA